GACACUGCCGAGACCAGUUAGGUAUCAAGACCAAGACACUGCCGAGACUGAAGGGUAUCAAGACCAAGACCAAGACACACUAAGGUGAGACCAAGACCAAGCCUUGUCAAGACCAAGUCCAAGACCAAGACCAAGUACGAAUCAAAGUAAGAAUCAAUAUGACAU